rnacentral:tRNA from 1 species
GGGCGAAUAGCUCAGUUGGUUAGAGCACCUGCCUUACACGCAGGGGGUCGGGGGUUCGAGUCCCUCUUCGCUCA